rnacentral:piRNA from 1 species
UGAGGCUCUUAUCAUAGGAGAAUAGUG